CUGUGAAUUUUUCAUGAAAAUUCUGCAAAGUGCGAUUGAGGGAGGUAUGCAUUGUGUGCUGGGACCAGUGUGAUUGAGGGAGGUAUGUAUUGUGUGCUGGGAC